rnacentral:lncRNA from 1 species
UAUAAAAAACUCAAUGUAGAAUAUACAACAAGAAUCAAGUAUAGGAUAUUAAGGAAUUUAAUAACUGAAACAGAGAUAAAGCAAACACAAGGAAAUACUACUCACAACAAAGAUGAUAACCGGGGAUCUCUCAUUAUCCUCAAUAUAUAUAUGCCAGGGAUCUCUUGGUAUCCUCAAUAUAUUCGAGGAAUCUCUUGGUAUCCCGAGGAUCUCUUGGUAUCUUUAACAUAUGCUAGAGAUCUCUUGGUAUCCUGAGGACCUCUUGGUAUCUCGGUGAUCUCUUGGUAUCAUUAAUAUAGGCUAGGGAUCUCUUAGUAUCCCGAGAAUAUCUUGUUAUCCUCAAUAUAUGCUAGGGAUCUCUUGGUAUCCCCAAUAUAGGCUAGGGAUCUCUUGUUAUCCCGCAUCUCAGUUAAAUCUAUAAAUAUGUAAAGGGGUGGGGAAUCUCCCAGGAAGCCGUCCCGUAGUCCCAAUGUAAAUAACAUAGCAACAAUACAUUAAUACUCAAUUAUGCUCACUAUCGUACCAAGUAAACAGUUAAUUCUAGCCUAACAUGCUUCAUGUAAUGCAAUCAAGGUAAUUUAAGCAAAUAGGCAAUUAAGUCAACUAAAUAUGCUUUUCUAAACUAACAACACGUUAAACUCGCAAGUAAAAUAAAACAAGAAAAAUGGAACUCAAUUGAAAUACUUAAAGAAAACUCGAAUUUCAACAGUUAGCUCAAGCACGCACUCAUCCCCUCAUGUACAAGGCAUUUCAAUUAUCAAAUGUAUCAUAUCCUAAGGGGAAGGUACCCCACACAAGGUUAGACAAGCCAUUUACCUCGAACCAGCUCAAAAUCAACUCGGCACCACGUCUUUGCCACGGGUACUCAACUUCAAAUGGCCUAAAUCUAUUCAAUCCAAUUGCAUAAUGUAAAUAACACUUCAAUUAACUGAUUCUACAAUCAAAUUCUGAGUUAAUACGCGAAAUUAGGUAAAAUGACCAAAAUGCCCCUCGGGACAACGUCUCGAAAUCGGGAAAAAUUUAUAUUUCCAGAAUCCUCACACUCUCACAAGUCUAAUCAAAUCAAAAUUAUCCAAAUCCAAUGCCAAAUCCCCAAUCAAAACCCAAAUUCUUGAUCUAAGAACUUUUCCCCAAAUUUUCAUGCAAUUCCCGAAAUAAAAUGGUGAAUUCAUGUUUAGAUUAAUGAGUUAUAAGCAAAAAGGAUUUUAGAAUCAUUACCCAAUCGAUAUCUCCGAAAAUCCCUAAAAACGUUGCUCAAAUCCGAGCUCCUAAGCUUAAGUUUUUAUAAAAAUGGUUAAACCCUCGAUUUUGAAAUUUUAUAUUCUGCCUAGGUAUUCCUUAAUCGCGAUCGCAGAACUACCUACAUGAUCGCAUAAGACAUGUCCCUCAAAGAAACAAAAUCGUGACCAGCUCUAUGCGAUCACAUAGAGAAAAUUAUAUCACUCACUGCCACACUAAAUCGUUCUGCGCGAACGCAAUAUUCCUCAUGCGAAGGCAAUGACCAACAAACUCACCAUAUGUGAUCACACUCUUUCUUCUGAGAUUGAAAUUCACAAAAAGUGCCUGGUCUAAUAUUCUCUACGCAAUUUCAGGAAAUCCCAUGCGAUCGCAAUGAAAAAAACACUAUUGCAGAAAUACCAGCAAAUCUGCAACCUCCCAAAGGCCAAAAGUGCCCGUUUGAGCACCCAAAACACACCCGAGGCCCCAUAACCUCAACGAAACCAACAUAUCCCAUAAAUUCCUUCAAUUUUUUUCCAACCUUUGGAAUGCUCAAAACAAUACCAAAACACCUAUUUUUCAGCGGAUUCAAGCCUAAGAAUUCCAAACACUAUAAAAAUACGCUUUCGAUCAAAAAGUCUAUCAAACCUCGUCUGAAUGACCUAAACUAUUGCAUACACGUCACAUUCAACACUACAGAGCUAUUCCAACUUCCAGAAUUCCAUUCCAACCCUCGGAUAAAAAUCUCACUAUCGAACCGGAAACUUCAAAAAUUCAACUUUUGGCAUUUUAAGUCUAAAUUAGCUACGGACCUCCAAACCACAACCCGAAUAUACCCCUAAGCCCGAAAUCACUCAACGGAGCUAACAGAACCAUCAGAUUUCUAUUCUGAGGUCAUCUUUACACUGUUCCAACUAUGAUUAACUUUCCAACACUUAACCCCUCAUUUAGGGACUAAGUAAAACUCUCUGAAACUCAAAAUCAAACAUCCCGAAAAAUCAAAAUAGCACAAAUAAACUUGGGAGAAGCAUUAAUAGGAUAUCGGGGCGUUAGUUCUUAAGAUGACCGGCCGGUCGUCACACUGAGUAUCUCGAAGCCUAUAGUUAGGAGAUGACAUGGUCGAAGCUUUUUUGUCUAUGUAGAGGGUAGUCCGUUUAACAGGUUCUUUCCAAAGUAGAUUCGAAGUAAUUAAAGGCUUGUGAUUUUGUAGCGACAAUCAGGCGUCCCCGAGUCGUAUUAGUUUGGCUGGUACAGCCUUGUGACCGUAUUCAUUUGUGUUUGGCCGGAACCUUUUAGUCCCCGAGUGAAGUAGUUUUGGAGUCUAUAUCAAGGGUAUGCCUUUUAGAGGUAUUACAAGUUCGAUAUAUAGCCUUAACUUUGAGAUAGGGUUUAUGCCUUUAGUAAGGUCUUACAAGUUUUACAUGUCUUUGAGGUCUUACAGUUUUGAAUACUUGGUACAAGUAUGGUUCAUGCCUUGAUUGAGGUCUUACAAAUAUUGUUGUUGCCUUAUAUAUGUCUUAUAAGACCAGUCUGCCCACUUGAGGUCUUAUGACCUCGGCUUUUUGAUAAUUCGAUAGAGACGGCAGUCCACGAGUUAUCGAGGAUUUCUCAGUUCGGGAGCCAUUACUUUGAAAACUUGGAAUUGCCAUAUUGAGGGCUUAUGAUUUCGGAGUUUCCAACCCGGUGGUCGCAUGGCUUUGAGUUUUUUAUACCAGUCAUCGGGUGUUUGGGAUGUUUUUUGCUCUAAAGUUUUUUUGUGAUCUUGAUUCUACCUCAUUGAGGGCUUACAAAUUCAGAGUUAUUGACCUGGGGGCCAUGUGGAUUUUGAGAUUUCGACGCCAGUCCCCACAUGCUCGGGACAUUUUCGACUCUUGAAGCCGUUUAUGUGAUUUUGAUGUUGCCUUACAAGGGCUUACGAGUUUGGAACUCCGAACUGGAGGUCAUUUAGGCUUUGGAUUGUUGAAGCCAGUCCCCGAGUAUUUGGGAUGUGGCUUUGACUCUGGAGUUGCUUUUUGUUUGCAAAAAUACCAAGAUUCUUUGAGAUAUUAAAUGCUUUGGAGAGUAUUCUUUGAUUACUUGGUACAAGUGCACACGUUUUCACUGUUAUGAGCUUGGUUAUUCUAUAUGAUCAUGGUUCGUUCGACCGUUUUUCCCGGUAUACUAUUUUUCAAUCGAGGCCCUGCUCAACACAUAUUGGCUUCCUCUAGGAGGAGAUCUUCUAGGGGGAAUGCCCCCAGUAUUCGAGGUUGAUUGAAAGGAAGCCUUGAAUACUUUUUUGAGUACUUAAUAGGUAGCAUAUAGAUGUUGCCUCAUUAAAACCCUUUUCCGGUGAAACCCUUCUUAGGAUAAAACUCGAUCAAUGGAAAGAGUACAACGUAUGCUUCUUGGGGCCUAAGGCCUUCAAAUUGGAAAGGGCUUUUGCUAUUUCAAUCGGAUACCUACACUCAUGUUAGUGUUGAGUGCAAUUGAACCAAAGAAAGAGACAACCAUACCUUAGUGUUGGUGUGUUUAGAGCCCUUAUAUGUUUUAGUCGCUUUUUGUGAGAAUGUGGUACGGUCCUCUGCUUCAUAUAGUCGGGCUUAACCGAAGGCGUAGUUUUCUAUUGCCAUUUUAUUAUUUUAUUACCCUUUGGCUCCUUUGAGGUUGGAGGUACUGGCGUCAGCGUCACAUCGUAUACCAUGAACAUUUCUCUCGCUGCAUGUUGUUCCCCGUAUACGGUCCUAAUCUUGUCCUUUGUCAGGAAUUUAUAAUUUGAUAGAGGGUGGACGGUACCGAUCUCAUGCAGAGUAUCCAUGGUCUUCCAAGAAAGGCGUUGUACUUCAUGUCUCUCUCGAUGACAUGAAAUUUGGAAUUUUGGGUUGUACCGACCAUGUUAACUGGGAGGGUGAUUUCCCUAUGGGUUUUUAGCUCGCCAUGUUGAAUCCAUUGAUGACUCAAAAGGCGGGUACGAUUUGGUCAAGCAUUCCGAGUUGCUCUACCACCCUCGACUUGAUAACGUUGGUCAAGCUACCUAGAUCCACAAGUACACAUUUAAUUUGGAAUGUAUUUACAAGAAAAUAGAUUACCAGUGCAUCAUUGUGGGGCUGGGACAUGGUCUCGAUGUCCUCGUUGCUAAAUGUAAGAGCAUCCUCGGGUAUGUAACCCCGGGUUUGCUUUUCUCUAGUGAUAGAUAUUUUUGUUUUUCUCAUUAUGGGCUCCUGUGGGGAUUCGAUGCCUCCUAAGAUCAUGUGGAUGACAUGUUGUUGCUCAUUUUUUUAUUUUUUCUUGGUCUCCUCUCUUUCCCUGAACUGACUUUUGGCCUGGUCACUAAGGAAUUCUCGGAGGUGACCUUUACUAAGUUGUCGGGCUACUUCUUCCCAGAGCUGGUGGAAAUUCUCGGGUCCUGUGUCCGUGCGUGUUGUGAUAUUCACACUCUAAGUUGUGAUUUCUUUGCGAAGAAUAUGAUCACAUGCCUGGGCCACAUGGUGUCUCUGAUUUUAUUGAUGGAGAACACGAUGUGGGAUACUUCGAGGUUGAAGUUAUACUCUAACAAACGAGGUGCUUCUGUCGGCCCUACAUACCUACCGAACCCAGCUCUAUUGAUGAGUCCCCGAGGAUUCUGGCCUCGCUCCAUUCUUCGAUCAUUGCAGGGUAUGUUGCGUCUCGGUGUAUUUCUCCUAUCAUCGGUGUAUGGCUGGUACCUUUCCUUGUUUGGUUUUGGCUCAUUCGCUAGAAACCUGCUUGGUACCGAGCCCGGGGAGGCUCUAAGUUGGUCGUCCUCAACUGUGACUUUAGUUUGAUAUUGAUUGUGAAUAUCCGACCAGGUCAUGGCAGGAUAUUCAACCAGAUUCUGUUUCAAAUGUUUCGAAGCCACCGAGCUUUUUUCAUUCAGACCUUGAGUGAAGUCCUGCACCGCCCAGUCAUUGGAGAUUGGUGGUAGUUCCAUACAUUCCAUUUGAAAGCUAGAUACGAAUUCUUGCAGCAUCUCAUUCUCCCUCUUCUUGAUCUUGAAUAUCUCGGAUUUCCUUGUUGCUACUUUGAUGGCUCCGGCAUAUGCAUUAAUGAAAGAAUCUGCCAGCAUGGCUAAUAAAUCUAUUGAGUUUGGGUCCAGGUUGUUAUACCACAUCAUUUCCCCUUUAGAAAGUGUUUCUCUGAAAUUCUUCAGCAAGACAUACUCGAUCUCGACGUCUUUUAGGCAGUUUCCCUUUACUGCACAAGUGUAAGAGAUAACAUGCUCAUUGGUGUCCGAGGUUCCGCUAUAUUUCAGAAGACCUGGCAUUCUGAACUUCUUUGGAAUGGACUUCAGGGCCUCUUCCUAGGUAACAUCUUCUGUAUGAACUUUUUUGAAUCCACACCUUUCAAGAUCAGGGGUGUGCCCGGAAUUUGGUCGAUCCUGGAGUUGUAGGUCUCGACCUUCUUGUUGUUGGCUUCUAUCUUCUUCUCACCUAACUCGAUCCUAUUUGUCAGGUCUUCAAGCAUCUUCAUGAUGGUGGGGGCGGCUGCCGACCCAUUGUUGCUUGAUCUCUCAGGUACCUGCUCGGCUGGGGGAGCCGUUUCCGGUGCUAUUGAAUUGGAAAUUUUUUGGUGACUUUGCAUCUGAGCAAUAGCCAGCUGUUGUGCUUGCAAUAUUCAAAAGUAACAUGAAGGCUAACCUCAUGUUCUUCCCUAGUCAGGGUUUUCUGAGCUUCUUGUUGGUCUCCUUGGUGCACGCUCUUGUUAGUUUGGGAGCUUAUAUCGACGUGUUGGGCGUCACGUGAGACCGCGUCUAUGGGAAUUGGAUCCGAUGUGUUCACAGGGUUUCGUGGUGGUACACCAGCACCUGGAACAUCCACACCAUUUUCUCCAUGGACAGACAUUUUGAGCUAAAAUCAAAGAUCUUGGACAAGAAAAAACGUGAAAGAUAACUUGCGUUGUGUAAUGAAACUACUAAGAAAAUAAUCACUAUUAUUCUUAGCCCCACAGUGGGCGCCAAAUUGUUUACUGUGAAAAUGGUAAUAAGAAUUAAAUUUGAUUAUGUUACUCUAAAAAUACGUGAUAAGUUGUAAAGCAGUUGAUGCUAUGUGAAAGACUUAGAACGAGAUAAGAGCUUGAGAGCAAGGUGAUAACCAAACCGAAUGGCUGCCAAUCGGGGCCUCGAGCUCGCCUAUUCAGUGACCUCAAAGUCGUGUCUGAUGCUCGGCUGGGAGUUAUGAAGGGUAGUCGAUGGACGACUAACAAUUGUAACACUACUAGCAUUCCGGAAAAAAGCGACCAAACUGUAGCGACCAAAGUUGGUCUGUCAAGAAAAGAGACCAAAGUUGGUCGUUAAAUUGGUGAAUAUAAUAAAAUAAUUAUUUUAAAUACAUUAGCGACCAAGGUUAGUCGCUAUUUGGUCGAUAAUUUCAUCAAAAUAUUGACCAGACGGGUCAGACUUGCUUGGUCAAAGAAAUACUGAGAUUAGCGACUAACAUUGGUCGCUAAAGAGGGACCCACUUAUAAAAUUUUAAUAAUUAUAAUAUUAUUUACAAAAAAUUAUAAAAUAUAAAUAAAUAUAAUUUAAAAUUAGCAACCAAAGUUGGUCGCUAAUUAAAGGGUAAGCAGAUAGAGAUCAACUUUGAUCACUAAUAUAGGAGCCAGUUAUAAAAUUUUAAUAAUUAUAUUAUUAUUUAAAAAAAUUAUAAAAUAUAAAUAAAUAUNNNNNNNNNNNNNNNNNNNNNNNNNNNNNNNNNNNNNNNNNNNNNNNNNNNNNNNNNNNNNNNNNNNNNNNNNNNNNNNNNNNNNNNNNNNNNNNNNNNNNNNNNNNNNNNNNNNNNNNNNNNNNNNNNNNNNNNNNNNNNNNNNNNNNNAAAAUUAUAAAAUAUAAAUAAAUUUAAUUCAAAGUUAGCAACCAAAGUUGGUCGUUUAGCAAAAUAGAGACCAACUUUGAUCGCUAAUAUGGGACCCAGUCCUAACAUUUAGCAAUUAUAUUAUUAUUUUAAGUAUUAUAUAAAAUAUAAAUAAAUCUAAUUUAAAUUUAGCAACCAACUUUGGUCGCUAAUUUUAAUUUAGGUAUAAUUAGUGACCAAAGCUGGCCUCUUUUCAAGUCAACAUUGGUCAAUAUUAAAAAUCACUUUUGUACACUUAGUGUGUGUCUGUGUAUAUAUACACACACUCUCUUACACUAUAGUAUGCACUAAGUAUUAGUGCAUUAGCUAAUAUUAUAUUGAGUAUAGCUUAGAAGAUAAUAUUACUAGUUAUCGGGAUAGAGAAAAGGCUAGGAAAUCAAAUAGGAGGGUAGAAGAUAAUACUCAAUCUUUUCCACCCUCUUUAGAGAUGCCUAUGUCUUUGCCUCACCCCCAAGGCUAUUAUGAGCUGCCACAACAUCACCAGUCCUACACCUUCAUGCAGACACCAGGUCUUUCGUCACAGGGCCAUAGGAGUGUACGUCCGACAUACAGUCCAACUGCCGCAUGACCACUUGGAUCGAAACCAUCUAUAUCGCAUGGAUCACAUCGAUCCAUGUCACAUCAACAUGGAUCAUAGCCAUCAAUUUCAUAACCCCUCGGGUCACAACAAUCAGUAUCACAACCACUUGUGGUCCAUCCAGCUAUGUCACAGUCACAGGGAUCGCAUCCAUCUUCAUCGGGGACUCCAUCUAUUUCAGGCCUUCGCCUGCGAGAUACUAGCGCUGACCUCUCCUACACUUUCCACACAUGCCUCUGAUAUACAUGUUUUGGACGGUGAUGUUGAUACUAACAAGGAGGUGCAUUAUGAUCAAUAUGGCAGGAUCAUCAUAGUCCCUGAGGGUGACGGGUAAGAGUUAUUUGUUAUUUUUACGUUUAUUAUUUUGUACAGUUUUUACUAAGAUAUUAAUGUAUUUUUUUAUUAAAUUGCAGGUUGAUCCCGAGUAAUAUUACUACAAGGAUAAUCAAAAAAGCAACUACAAAGCUUUAUGAUGGCCCUUAUGCGUCUUGGAGUGAAAUCUCAUUCUCGCUAAAGGAGCAAAUUUUCAGUGAAUUUAAGGUAUAAAUAUUUUUUUAAACAGUAUAAUUAUUUAUAUUUAUGAUAUAUAUGUAUAUAUAUAUGUAUAUAUAUAUAUGUAUAUAUAUAUAUAUAUAUAUAUAUAUAUAUAUAUGUAUAUAUUACUGUUGAAAUAUAGAGCAAGUGUGUUUGGGAACAUUGCUAUAGCGCCGAUGUAGCUGCAAAUUUUCAUCUCAAAGCUCGCAAGCGGUUGUCACAUACUUUCUCCAAAGCUAGAAAGUUGAACAAGAAGCCUGACUGGUUGCUUCAGAAUUUACGGGAGGAUUUGCAAAGGCAAUGACUUACUGCAAAGUUCUUAGAGAAGAACGAAAAAGGAAAGAAAACUCGCACAUCUGAGAAGGGAGGAUCCUUUCACACUGGAGGUGCGAUCAGCCUAGGGACAAUAAAAAGAAGAACAGUACGUAAUUGCUUAAUUUAUUUUAAUUUUCAAAGUAUAUCUAUUCUAUUUAUUAACUAAAAAUAUGAGUUUUCAGGAAAAGAAGUUGGAGCAUCCGAUGAACCAACAUGAGCUAUUCAAGGAGACUCAUAUUGUGAAGAAGAAGAAAGAGACGGAUCAAGAAAGGUGUGUCAAGGGAUGAGCCUCAACUGUACAUAUAAGUUGUCACUUUUCGUUAAGUAUUUGACUUUUAUAUAAAUUUUUAAUAUUAAUUCAAAAUUUUCUUAUAGGGUCGCUUCACAGCUGAAGUGGAGGAAUUCAUACGCAGUCAGCCACCUAAUAAGUCGGGCGAGCCAAUUCAACCUUCGGACGAGGAUGCUCAAAGAAUGUGGACAGAGGCCGCAGACGGUCCAAAAUGGGGGAAGGUAUAUGGGCUUCCCACUAAGAAAUUCCAUCGUUAUAAGUGUGGAAUGCAAGGAAUAGGGACUUCCUCACAAGCUAAGAAACUUGAUGGGGAGAGCCUCUCCGCUAUGCGGGAGACUGUGACAAAGCUCACAUCUGAGCUAGAAGUGGCCAAGGAAAGAGAAAAGCUUAGAGAUGCUCAAUACAUUGGCAUGCAAGCUCAGUACCAGGGCAUGCAAGAGCAGCUCAAAUCUCUCCUACCUUCUGGAGCUUUUCCGAUUCCCCGAUCUUGUUAGUCAUCACCAGAGGCUCGCCUUCCCCAUGCUCGUCCUCCCGUCCUCUAAGUGCUCGUUCCUCUCGUCCUCGACAAGUAGACCCUUUUGAGUACCGUCAUGGUGAUGAAAGUUCAUCAGACGGUGAUGAUAAUGAUGUACAAAACACUCAUUGACUUUUAUACACUUUGAACUAGACAUGUAGAAUUGGUUUUCUUUUGGAGGUUGUAAUAAGAGUUAACUUAGCUUAGUUAGCUUAAUGUGGUAGUUCUAUUGAACUUUAAACUUCAUUGGUUUUAAUGUUAUAUUUUUGUUGUUGUUGUUGGUAUUAUUAUUGUUGUUGCUUGUAAUAGGGAUUUGGUAUGCUGGUAGGUGGUGUAGCUGCCAAAAUGGGCAGUUUCUGCCAAAAUAAUACCCAGAAAAAUGAUCAACUUUGGUCGCUUGUUGAUCGAUUUUCUAUUAAAAAAUAAAUUUAUUGGAAACAGCGACCAAUGUUGGUCGCUAAUUAAUCCAGAUUUCGUAAAAAGCGACCAACUUUGGUCGCUAUUCCAUUAAAAAAAAAACAAUUUCUGGAAAUAUAGCGGCCAAUUUUGGUCGCUUAUAUUUAAAAAAAUUAAAUUUAUGAAAUUAACGACCAAUUUUGGUCGAAAAAAAUUAAUAAAAUAGCGACCAACUUUGGUCUCUAUUUUUUAGAUUUUAAAAUAUAAUAUUUGGAUUAGAGACCAAAGUUGGUCGCUAUAUUUUAAUUAAUAAUAAAUUAAAAAAUGUAAUUUACAUGUAGAGACCAACGUUGGUCGCUAAAAUUAUAUUAUUAAAAUAUUAUAGCAACCAAAGUUGGUCGAUAUAUUCUUUACCCGAAAUAUUUGGUCUGUUUACCUUAGAAAUUAGCGACCAACUUUGGUCCCUAAAAUAAAGGGACCAGCAGUAUAGCGACCAGGCGACUUUGGUCGCUUUUUGUGCUUGCUUUUGCGAAUUUCUAGUGGUGUAAUAAGAUCAAUAACGGCUCUUUAUGGCCAAUAAUAAGUAAUAAAUGAAGAACAAUAAGUAGAGCACAACAAAUAUAAGCAAUAAAUGAAGUAAUGAACUCAAGAAAAUAUGUUAAAGAGUAGCUUGUGUAUUUAGUAUGGAGUGACGGAUAGAUGUUUACAAAAUGACAAGGAUCCUCUUUAUAUAUGAGGGAAAAUUCCAACAUAAUACAAAUACAUUUAUUACAAAGAUAUGGAGAUGGGAUAGCUAGUUAAUGCUAUGAUGCAGGAUUAGACUAGCCUGACAUACUUUGUCGGCUCUAGCUGCACGCCUUGGGAACUCUCCACUUUCUCUACAUAACCGUCGGUCCGUGCUGCUCCGAGGUGGAGCGUUGAUGGACCUCGAAAGAUGAAACUCGACCAUGGUUUUGAUCCUUCGAGAUGUCGUAACGAGGGAAAAUUGGACCCUCCGAUUUUACCGUACACAGAUUGAUUAAUAGAAAGUUGGACAAAAUGAAUCAUGAAAGAUUAAAUGAAGAAGCACAAAAUUUAUUGAUCUUAGAGUUACAAACAAAACUAAGAUGCUAUAGAAUCAGCUGUGGAAAUUUCCAUUUUCCCAGCUAUCUUCUUGUCACUUUAUAUCUCAUGUAUAAACUAUGUAAUCCAAAUCACUUGGGAAUUAAAAUUACCUAUUGAUAAACAAAGAAGAUGUAAAGGCGGAUAUACAUGUAGUAAACUGUAAAGCUAUAACAAAAUGGGACUGAUAUCUGAUAUCAAUAAGAAUCUGAAUUGCAAAAGCUAAUACUGUCUCGACAAGGCAUUAUGGUUCUCUGCGGAACCUGGUUAGCAAACUUGAGUUACUUUAGUUGUAACCAUUUCUGUGUACCUUUUGCCAUCUCCAUGCUAUGGCUAAACUCUCCUCAAGUGAAUACCUUGCUAUCCAGUUCAGUUCGCGCCUAAUUUUAGAAGGAUCGCUGUAGACUUCAGCGUAGUCUCCUGGACGUCUACUGAGGUAAUCAAUCUUUAUGUCCACUCCUGUUGCCCUUUUACAAUAGUCUCCUGGACGUCUACUGAGAUAAUCAAUCUUUAUGUCCACUCCUGUUGCCCUUUUACAGGCUUCCACAAAUUGUUUCACUGAACUACCUGUAAUGACAAGGACUUGACCAUCAAAAUGUCUUCUGGCGUACCAAUAUGCAGAGGCGGAUCCAGGAUUUAAAUUUAAUGAGUUCAAACUUCCACUGAACCCACUGUACUGUUAAAAUUAUGGGUUUAGAUCUAACAUGUAUUGAGAUUUAAAUUGGUUAAUAUAUAUAUAUAUGACGAAAGUUAUGGAUUCAGAUAAACGCAUAGCUUUUAGGCUACAUCCGCUUCUGCCAAUAUGAAUAUAUAAGUUUGCAACGAACAAAAUGUUCAAAAAGUAAUUUAUAAGUAGUAGG